rnacentral:rRNA from 1 species
UACGGGGGGAGCAAGCGUCGUUCGGAUUUACUGGGCGUAAAGCGCGUGUAGGCGGCUUGGCAAGUCGGAUGUGAAAGCCCACGGCUCAACCGUGGAAGCGCAUCCGAAACUGCUUCGCUCGAGUCUCGGAGAGGAAGGUGGAAUGCUUGGUGUAGAGGUGAAAUUCGUAGAUAUCAAGCAGAACACCUGCGGCGAAGGCGGCCUUCUGGACGAUGACUGACGCUGAGACGCGAAAGCGUGGGGAGCAAACAGG